GAGGAAGAGUUGGAUUAGGUUAAUGUUUGGAAUGGUGGAACGCAAGGAUGGAGAUAAUGAUGGUGUUGAGAAGAAGGAAGAGGCAAGGAGGCUUCAAGGAACCACAAUACCACAACCAUGAAAACUUGUGUUGACUCUCUAGCAAGUGUACCAGAUCGUUUCAAGUAAUAUAAUUGGUAAAACCCAAUAUCGUUCUUCCCAAGAGACUCAAAGGCCUUAUCGUUCGUGCAAAUUGAAAUCGUAAGACUUGUAAAGAAAAUUAAUUGGUGGGAAUGCAAAAACACAAAAUAAACAUGCAAAUGCGGUUGAUUCAAUUGACGAGAAAAAGACUAUGAAUGAAUGGAGUUGUUGGAGGUUUACAAUUUCAUCUUAUCCGCUCUCUCUUAUCUACUCCUCUUAUUUAAUUUGCUUUGUUAUCUAAUUGUCAUGCAAACUUUCUUAGUCUACCCUUAACCCGAUCCCUCGACGAAAAGAGCCUAUUACUAAUUACUGGCUUGCUAUCCCUAGCCUCCCCUAGUAAUUAAUAAUGCGUUAAGAAUAGAAACAAAAGCAAUUGAUCGUCCUACCCCCUAUCCCUAGGUGGUAUUGCUUAAUCAAGGAAUUUCUCACCAGUUCAUGACAUUACCGUACGUUCCCGUAUCAAUAAAGACAAACAACAAUUAUCGAAUGAGUUAAACGAUAAAAGCUUUAAGUGCAGACGAGAACCCAACAAUUAAUAAUUAAAGCAUACAACAAAUAAACAAGAGUUUCAAUAAAAGAGAGUUUCAAAAGAUUACGUUGUUUUCCCCAACAACAAAAGGGUUUAGUUCACCAUUGUCAUGGUGAACUUAGAUGAAAAAUGAUGGAAGAAUGGAAAAGCAAACCCUAGAUAGGAUAAAAAGGAGCCUAAGCAUCCAAGAGAUCUUCUUCAAGGAGUGAAAAUUAGGUCUGGCCGCCCUCUUCUGUCAAAAGAAUGAUUCUAAAUUCGCA
rnacentral:lncRNA from 1 species